CCAGCAUACAUAGGAAAAGAGAUAAUUGCCCCAAUGCUUAUGCCAAUGGUGCAUUAUGUGCCAAGCCUGCUAGUUCUACAGGAUUUCAUUUUGAAAUCCAAGCAGGGAACAGAGAUUUUGGACAAGAAACCAGAAAUACAAAAUCAGAUGAAGCCUCAGAUUAAUUGGACAGCCCAGGAAUCCUGAGAAUAACAUAUCUAGCUGUUGAGCAUAACUGAAGUGCUUGAUCUUCAAACAAAAAGCACCCUGUACCUCUCCACUGUCCUGAAUUAGAUAGUACAAUGACUUAGAAAAGUGGACCCCACCAAAUAUGCUCUCCUUUCUGGGCAUACAAACUAGUAACAGAGAAAGCCGGCAUGAUGACUCAGAAAAUUCAGCUGAAACCAGGCCCCUGAACAGGAGAGAGACUCAGUGCCCUGGCCUAACAGCAAUGGAAAUAUUGACUGCAGCAAAGCCCCAGGGUUUGCCAGAGGAAAUGAAGAGGAACUUUUCAAGCAGCAGACAGCAUGAGUUCAGAGUGAGGGCUAUGGUAAAGUUCAUUUAAAGUGCAACUGAUGGAGGACAACAAAUGGAAUGACUCUGUCUUGUAUAGGAUAGAAUGAGCUCUGGCAGAGUGUCUCACUGGAGUCCCAGUUAGCAUACUAAAUAACUGGAGUAACCAAAAAUUUAAGUCUGGGUUAUUUCUAAAGGCUUGACGAUUAUUAAGGAGAGUAAGGUUUGCAGGACUUGAUCCUGAAAUGGGUUAUUGAACAAAACCUUCAUUAAUGCUGGAGAUUGAUUUGCACUGUUAUUCAUGACGCAACA